rnacentral:tRNA from 1 species
GUUCAAGUCCACUUAGGCCCA